rnacentral:sRNA from 1 species
GCUGGGCAUGGAGGCACAUACCUGUUAUCCCAGCAGCUUAGGAGGCUGAGGCAGGAGGAUCACGAGUUCAAAGCCAGCCUCAGCAACUUAAGUGACGCGCUAAACAACUCAGUGAGACCCUGUCUCUA